rnacentral:lncRNA from 1 species
GGGAGCCCGCCUCGCCCUCAGCUCCGGAAGGCCGACCUCUGCCUGGGCUUGCUCCGGUUUCGGUUUCUUCCUUGCCCCACAGAUGCUUUUGUUUUCUUUUUUAAGAUUUUACUUAUUUUUUCACGAGAGACCCCGAGAGAGAGGCCGAGACCCAGGCCUAGGGAGAAGCAGGCUCCCUGCAGGGCCGGCGAGGACUCGAUCCCGGGACCCAGGGGUCACCACCUGAGCCCAAGGCAGAUGCCCAAGGGCUGAGCCCCCCAGGGCUCCCCAGAGCUGAAUUUUCCACAGACCCGGCCUGGCCGCACUUCGCUGUGCAGCGGCUCCUCCCCGGUGCAGUCCUUAGUAGGAUUCUGAUAAGUGCUUUCCCACCCCCAACUCUGCAAAGUCCUCCCCGUCUGGGUGCAGGCAACUGUUGGCUUUAGGGCCCUGGUUCCACCUCCAGGACCCCCGGAGCCGUCACCCACAUCAUACCGGGCCGGCAACAAAACCUCAGGACUCCUUGGGUGAAUGGAUGUGGGCCUGGAGGGGCGGCCCAGGGGGGCCUUCCCAGAGCCGCAGCCCUCCAGGACAGGCCUGUUCUGCCCUCCAGGGAGAGAGAGAACCGAGAGACCCCCGUGAACUCCCAAGGCGACCCGGCGAGUGGGGAAGCCAGAGCCCAGCAGAGAGGUCCUAAUAUCUACCUGGGAAAAGAGAAGACAUGUGGACGUACCCACACGGAUCCUGGCACACCACCGUUGGCGCUGGCAUUAUUACUACUGCCCACGAUGAAGGCGGGUUUGGACCACCAGACAGCAUUGCUGAUGGGUCCCUGUGUCCUCUGCGGAAUCACAGAUACUCUGAUGGUCUCAUAAGAAACAAGCUGAAAAAUGGGCCUUCCUUGAGGAAGCCGGCAGCAUAGAAUAAAAUGAAACCGCUGAUGCUUUAGACUUUACUUUCACCACCUCCUGGGGGGCGGGGGGAAGGACUGGAGGCCCCUGUGUGUGGGACAGCAGGAGUGACAUCAGGGAGAGUGAGAGACACAGGUGAUAAGUGGGCACGAUGGCAGCAACACGGCCAGCUCAGGAAUGCCUGAACUUCCCUGCCUCCAUCUGGGGAUGCCUCCCCUGUUGAAAGCACCCAUCCAUUCUUGUAUCUAUUUGCAACACGGUUCUGUUUGGCGUGCUAAGUUCUGGAUGGGUUUCUGAAGAGCCACUGCCACUGC